UAUUGUGGAAGUACCAUAUUUUCAAAAGCUGCACUGGUAUUGAUUUCAAGAGUGCAGCGCCAGUGUCGUCUGCCUGCGGCCCUUAUUUCAAGGUGGAAAAGCCAUAGUGGUUUUAUCAGCUAUGUUCAAAUAUCUGCUCCCUUUGGAUACAAACUGGGAGGAAAAACUUAUCUCUGAGAUUGACAUUGUGUUCUAGGUAGUCUGCAUACCAGUAUGCCCUUCGGUCUCAGGGGGCAAUGUUGCUAUGUGGCCUAGUUGGCUAAAUUUGCCCUAAAUUUUGUCCAUGCAACCCGAAACCUGUUCAGACCAUUAGCUGGUCCAGCUUUCUUUUCCCUUCUUCUAGACUUUAUUUUGAAUCAGAAAUAUGAGACAUCCAAACUAUGUAACUAGUUUUCUAUCCUGUCAUUUUGUGAGUAAGGAGUCUAUUCCAACUUUUUUAUUGUUGCAGCCAAUGACACUUUGGUGCUAUUUCAUGUAGAAAAUGUGGUUUCUUUUCUAUCUUUCUUUUUUAAUUGCCAUUCCAAUGCCAGUAUGGUCCUUUAUCCCAUUUAAAUUGCCUCCAUUCCCACCUUCCCAGCCAAUAUUCAUCACAGAACUACAUAUAGAAGCUUUGUGCUCCGUUUAAAAACAACUGCAAAAAAGACUGGAUAUUUGCACAUAAGACUGAAAUUUGCAUAGUCAGAAAGUUUUGCUAGCCAGAUUUGUGGAACUAGAAUCAGGGCUGUCUUAAGCAUAUGCGGCGCCGGGGUGCAAAGAUCCGCCCAGUGCCCCCCAGUUGCCCAGUCCCAGGCGCUCAGGAGAGCGGAGCCAGCCGGCCACCUCGGCAUCUCAGUGGCUCGGUCACCCCCGAACUCGCAGCGCAGAGCCACCCGCAGCAGAAGAGCCUGCCACAGCACUCUGACGAACGGGUGGGCUCUUCCCCGGACGCAACUCUCGGGCCCUGGACUCUUGGCCUGGCACCCCUGAGAUCCCGGUGCCCGGGUGCCCCGCACCCCUAGCGCCUAUGGCUAAGAUGGCCCUGACUAGAAUAUAGCUAUUGCGUGGUUGUAUUUUGAUCUGCAGUUAAACCUUUCUCUGAAUAAUCCACCACUUGACUAAAGCUAAUAUAACUAGGUUCUCUUUCCCCCGCCCACUUGUUUAUUUCAUCUUUACUAGUGAUGCUUCUGAAUAUUUAGUAUCUGAAUAUCUACUAGCUUUUUUAUUUUUCCAUACACCUCAGAGUAUAGUUUAUAAUUUGUACAUACAUGUGUGCCGUGUAAGAUGCAGAAAGUGCC